AUCCAGCUGAUGAGUCCCGAAUGAAACGAAACGCGCAUUCUGGAU
rfam:Schistosoma haematobium scaffold57_21, whole genome shotgun sequence.